GGUCUUUCUACAAGAAUCUACAGGUCGAGCAAGUCUCGUAAAUUUCACGAUUGCGAGCCACGCUUCACGCAACCGUGUUUGCGUACUUGUGUUUCGAGUUGCGUGGUCGUGCGGAGUUAUAUUUACCAAAUUUAAAUAUAAUCGUUUUCAAAAUUAAAUCAAUAUGGCUACUGGGUGUAAAAGAUAAAUCUUAUUCUAUCUGUUCUUAAUGAGUUUUAGAUAAUUUUAGUUGUAUUUCUUUGUAAUUUUGUGUUGUACAAAGAUUAAUUUAACAUUUUCUCUGGAAGUAUUAAUUUAGAAAGAUAAUAUGCUUCAUUGGUGUUGUGUUUUGAAGUGUGAAAUGCAAAGUAAUUGUGAUAGUUAAAUGCAAGAUAAAGUUCACUUUUAAACUGAACUAAAUAAGGUAUCUGAGAGACAACAAUGGUUAAAUGCAAUACAAUGUACAGGUUUUACUAGCGAAAUGAAAAUUUUCCUGUCCUGUCUGCUGUAAUCAUUUUAUAUCUGGAAAACCAGCCGACUUAAUCGAUAAUAACAAUCUCCAGAUUGGGUUCCUUCAAUAAAUAUGGUCUAUAAACACAAUGAAAUAAGUUCCCCAAACUCUAAAAUGGAGUGGUAUCAAAGGAGAAUUAAAGGGAAAAAUAUUCAUAUUGAAAUUAUUUAUAAGGCACUGGACUGUCUUAAAUUCUACAAUAAUACUAGAAUCAGCUGAGAGAAGUGGUCUACAAAAAACCAUGAAGGAAACGGAAUAUGUGGCUACGAAAGGCAAAAGAAAGGUUUACAAAGCAAAUGUGACACAUCUUUUUGAAAUAUUUAGGAAUAUCAGUAAAUUGCAUUGAAAAAAUGUAUGAAAAGAUUUUGUUCAAUAAAAAUGUUUAUAUUUA